CACGAACGCUGGCGGCAGGCUUAACACAUGCAAGUCGAGCGCCCCGCAAGGGGAGCGGCAGACGGGUGAGUAACGCGUGGGAAUCUACCCAUCUCUAUGGAAUAACGCAUGGAAACGUGUGCUAAUACCGUAUACGUCCUUCGGGAGAAAGAUUUAUCGGAGAUGGAUGAGCCCGCGUUGGAUUAGCUAGUUGGUGGGGUAAAGGCCUACCAAGGCGACGAUCCAUAGCUGGUCUGAGAGGAUGAUCAGCCACACUGGGACCGAGACACGGCCCAGACUCCUACGGGAGGCAGCAGUGGGGAAUAUUGGACAAUGGGCGCAAGCCUGAUCCAGCCAUGCCGCGUGAGUGAUGAAGGCCCUAGGGUUGUAAAGCUCUUUCACCGGUGAAGAUAAUGACGGUAACCGGAGAAGAAGCCCCGGCUAACUUCGUGCCAGCAGCCGCCGUAAAAC
rnacentral:rRNA from 1 species